AUCCAGCUGAAGAGUCCUAAAUAGGACGAAACGCGCGUCGUGGAU
rnacentral:hammerhead_ribozyme from 1 species